rnacentral:rRNA from 1 species
UUGGAGGGCAAGUCUGGUGCCAGCAGCCGCGGUAAUUCCAGCUCCAAUAGCGUAUAUUAAAGUUGUUGCAGUUAAAAAGCUCGUAGUUGAACUUCAGACCUGACCGGGCGGUCCGCCUAACGGUGUGUACUGUCUGGCCGGGCCUUACCUCUUGGUGAGCCGGCAUGCCCUUCACUGGGUGUGUCGGGGAACCAGGACCUUUACCUUGAGAAAUUAGAGUGUUCAAAGCAGGCUUACGCCGGAAUACAUUAGCAUGGAAUAAUAAAAUAGGACGUGUCGG